UAAUUUUUUAGUUUGGUGAGU
rnacentral:piRNA from 1 species